rnacentral:miRNA from 1 species
UUUGGAGUGAGAGGAUCUGGUA